ACGAACGCUGGCGGCGUGCUUCACCCAUUCCAGUCGCACGGAAAGGCCCUGCUUUUGUGGGGUGCUCGAGUGGCGAACGGGUGAGUAACACGUGAGUAACCUGCCCUUGACUUUGGGAUAACUUCAGGAAACUGGGGCUAAUACCGGAUAGGAGCUCCUGCUGCAUGGUGGGGGUUGGAAAGUUUCGGCGGUUGGGGAUGGACUCGCGGCUUAUCAGCUUGUUGGUGGGGUAGUGGCUUACCAAGGCUUUGACGGGUAGCCGGCCUGAGAGGGUGACCGGCCACAUUGGGACUGAGAUACGGCCCAGACUCCUACGGGAGGCAGCAGUGGGGAAUAUUGCACAAUGGGCGGAAGCCUGAUGCAGCAACGCCGCGUGCGGGAUGACGGCCUUCGGGUUGUAAACCGCUUUCGCCUGUGACGAAGCGUGAGUGACGGUAAUGGGUAAAGAAGCACCGGCUAACUACGUG
rnacentral:rRNA from 1 species